rnacentral:rRNA from 1 species
GAUGAAUGCUGGCGGCGUGCCUAACACAUGCAAGUCGAGCGGCAGCGCGAGUAGCUUACUACUUGGCGGCGAGCGGCGGACGGCUGAGUAACGCGUGGGAACGUGCCCCAAAGUGAGGAAUAACUGCCCGAAAGGGUGGCUAAUACCGCAUAUGAUCUUCGGAUUAAAGUCUUCGGACGCUUUGGGAGCGGCCCGCGUCGGAUUAGGUUGUUGGUGAGGUAAUGGCUCACCAAGCCGACGAUCUGUAGCUGGUCUGAGAGGAUGAUCAGCCAGACUGGGACUGAGACACGGCCCAGACUCCUACGGGAGGCAGCAGUGAGGAAUCUUCCACAAUGGGCGAAAGCCUGAUGGAGCAACGCCGCGUGCAGGAUGAAGGCCUUCGGGUCGUAGACUGCUUUUAUGAGUGAAGAAUAUGACGGUAACUCAUGAAUAAGCACCGGCUAACUACGUGCCAGCCGCCGCGGUAA